ACAUACAGGAACUCAAAUCCUUCUGUUCACCUGAUUUAGAAUUCUGUCGUUGAAUGACAACAAAGACCUUAAUGAAGAAUCCCUACUGUUGACCAAUCACCGACGAAGGACCGUAGACAUCGGCCUUUGGCUCACCUCUAGAAAACCCUCGCCGAAGUCCAGAACGUCACCAAAUGUGGUCAUAAUAUAAUAACCCCAUGGAAAUGUUUCAGCUGGGAGGCACGCGGACGUCAUCCCUACAUUCUAUGGAAGUGUUUCAGCUGGGAGGCACGCGGACGUCAUCCCUACAUUCUGUGUUUCAGCUGGGAGGCACGCGGACAUCAUCCCUACAUUCUAUGUUUCAGCUGGGAGGCACGUGGACGUCAUCCCUACAUUCUGUGUUUCAGCUGGGAGGCACGCGGACGUCAUCCCUACAUUCUGUGUUUCAGCUGGGAGGCACGCGGACAUCAUCCCUACAUUCUGUGUUUCAGCUGGGAGGCACGCGGACGUCAUCCCUACAUUCUGUGUUUCAGCUGGGAGGCACGCGGACGUCAUCCCUUCAUUCUAUGGAAGUGUGAAAAUGGCCCCCACCCAAGUGGUCACUGGUCAGAAUAUGUACAAAAUAAAAACUCAUUCAUCCUGGGGUCCCUAUGAACAGAUUGUUGUACCAUUUCAUGUUGAUAAAAUGCUGUCAGUUCCACUUGAACUCUGCACCAGGUGUGUGUGUGUUACCGUUUGAACUCUGCACCAGGUGUGUGUGUGUUACCGUUUGAACUCUGCACCAGGUGUGUGUGUGUGUGUGUGUUACCGUUUGAACUCUGCACCAGGUGUGUGUGUGUGUUACCGUUUGAACUCUGCACCAGGUGUGUGUGUGUGUGUUACCGUUUGAACUCUGCACCAGGUGUGUGUGUGUGUGUUACCGUUUGAACUCUGCACCAGGUGUGUGUGUGUGUGUGUGUGUGUGUUACCGUUUGAACUCUGCACCAGGUGUGUGUGUGUGUGUU